AUGAAGGGUCAAGGCUUUGUGGGAAUUGUAGUGCCUACGGUGAGGUGCCUAUGGGGAAGUGAGACCACUAGUGGAGACUCAGGGAAACAGAAACCAGACAGCGUGACAUUACCCCCUCCUCCACGGAGCAGCUACCAGAUGCUCCACCGGAACUCAAGAAGAGACCAAGGAACACAGAGACCAGGAGGGAGGUGGAAUGGCGGAGGACCAGGGGGAGGGACGGGGGGCCAGGUAAAAUGGAGAAACAGAGACAAGAAAUGCAAAAAACAAAAACAAGGAGCCCAGGAGGGAGGUGGACCUGCGGAGGAUCAGAGGGAGGGACAGAGAGCCAGGUCCAUAGAGGGAAACAGAGAGAAAAACAAAACAAGGAGCCCAGGAGGGAGGUGGACCUGCGGAGGAUCAGGGGGAGGGACGGAGGGCCAGGUCCAUAGAGGGAAACAGAGGGAAGAAGAGCAAAAAACAAAGACAAAUAAACAACAAAACACAAGUCCAGGAAGAAAUAUUUGCUCAGUGGCCCAGGGCCGAACCGACAGGGCAGGAAUCCAGAGAGGAGCAAGGCGGAGUUGGAGCCAUGUGGUCGAGACAGAAGCCCACAGGGUGGCGCAGAAGACCACCACAUCCGUGCGGUCGAGGCAGAAGCCCACCAGGGUGGCGCAGAAGACCACCACAUCUGUGCGGUCGAGACAGAAGCCCACCAGGGCGGCGCAGAAGACCACCACCUCCGUGCGGUUGAGACAGAACCCACCAGGGCGGUGCAGAAGACCACCAUAUCCAUGCGGUCAAGGCAGCGACGCUGUGCCGGCGGCCAUCUUGCACAGUGACGUUGGGCUGGCGACCACCUUGUGCUGUGGCGCUGGGCCGGCGGCCAACUUGUGCUGUGGCGCUGGGCUGACAACCAUACUGUGCAGUGGUGCUGGGCUGGCCUGUUUGCAGACCCCGGUCCAGAAUCGGCCAUUCCACCGGGAGAGUGGCUGGGGCAUCCCACGGAAGCCGAUGCUGCAAGUAGAACACGAAUUCCCAGAAACCAAACGCGUCCAACUGAUCCAUCUCUAUACGAGGUACCGGGUCAUCCAGACCUGUGUUGAAAAUGUCUUUUAG
rnacentral:lncRNA from 1 species